GCCGCCUUGACGCAGUCGGCAGCGCGUCAGUCUCAUAAUCUGAAGGUCGUGAGUUCGAGCCUCACAGGAGGGA
rnacentral:tRNA from 1 species